UGGGGAAUAUUGGACAAUGGGCGCAAGCCUGAUCCAGCAAUGCCGCGUGGGUGAAGAAGGCCUUCGGGUUGUAAAGCCCUUUAAGCGGGGAGGAAAGGUGGGACGCUAAUAACGUUCUGCAUUGACGUUACCCGCAGAAUAAGCACCGGCUAACUCCGUGCCAGCAGCCGCGGUAAUACGGGGGGUGCGAGCGUUAAUCGGAAUUACUGGGCGUAAAGCGUGCGUAGGCGGUGCAAUCAGUCAGCCGUGAAAGCCCCGGGCUUAACCUGGGAAUGGCGGUUGAGACGGUUGGACUCGAGUGGGCUAGAGGACUGUGGAACUCCCGGUGUAGCGGUGAAAUGCGUAGAGAUCGGGAAGAACACCGAUGGCGAAGGCAGCAGUCUGGGGCCACACUGACGCUGAGGCACGACGGCGUGGGGAGCAAACAGG
rnacentral:rRNA from 1 species